rnacentral:sRNA from 1 species
GGCUCUAUAUGCUACACUCAGUAACCUCCCACUUGUCUCCUCUC